rnacentral:sRNA from 1 species
CUUGUGACCCUGGCCGCCUUGAUCUCUCCUGGCAGGAGUGAUCUUAAUGGGGCAGGGAAGUGAGCCAUCAGAUCAGAGUUAUGUUCUAUGUUGCACACUUUGGAGCCUCAACGUCCUCCUCUGAACAAUGGGAAACAUCAUGGAGUAUCCUGAGUAUUGGAUGGACCAGCGUCUGGCAUAAAAUAAGAACAAUAUCGAUGUCAUUUAUCCUAAAAUAACUGAGAUAUUCUACCUCACUGAAGAUAUUCUACCCAUAAACAGACACCACUUGGGGGAAAUAGAGAAAUACUACUCUGCUCAAGACUUGAAGAGCGACUUAUAAACACACCAAUACCUAAGGUCUCCACCUAGUCUACCACGUGUCUGAAGUGAACCAGGUAACUCCCUCCUACGAAUCAUUCUUGAACACAUGCUAUGUAUCCAGCCUUCGUCUGGGCUCUGAGUAGAUUACUCACCUGAUGAAUUUGUUGUUGUUUAAUAGUACAAAAUUUUCAUAAUGAACUGGUGGGGCAAAAGAAAAGGCCUGUGCAUAUUUUGUCUAGCUAUCCCUGUGUGCAUUUCUUGUUAUUAAAGGAUUACUUCUUCAAUGGACAUUUAA